rnacentral:rRNA from 1 species
AUUGAACGCUGGCGGCAUGCCUUACACAUGCAAGUCGAACGGCAGCACGGGGCAACCUGGUGGCGAGUGGCGAACGGGUGAGUAAUGCAUCGGAACGUGCCCAGACGUGGGGGAUAGCCCGGCGAAAGCCGGAUUAAUACCGCAUACGAUCUAAGGAUGAAAGCGGGGGACUCGCAAGGGCCUCGCGCGUUUGGAGCGGCCGAUGGCAGAUUAGGUAGUUGGUGGGGUAAAGGCUUACCAAGCCUGCGAUCUGUAGCUGGUCUGAGAGGAUGAUCAGCCACACUGGGACUGAGACACGGCCCAGACUCCUACGGGAGGCAGCAGUGGGGAAUUUUGGACAAUGGGCGCAAGCCUGAUCCAGCCAUUCCGCGUGCAGGACGAAGGCCU